rnacentral:rRNA from 1 species
UACGUAGGGUGCAAGCGUUGUCCGGACUUAUUGGGCGUAAAGAGCUCGUAGGCGGUCUGUCACGUCGGCUGUGAAAACCUGGGGCUCAACCCCGGGCCUGCAGCCGAUACGGGCAGACUAGAAUUCGGUAGGGGAGACUGGAAUUCCUGGUGUAGCGGUGAAAUGCGCAGAUAUCAGGAGGAACACCGGUGGCGAAGGCGGGUCUCUGGGCCGAUAUUGACGCUGAGGAGCGAAAGCGUGGGGAGCGAACAGG